GCCCGCCUCUGCACUUUUUCUAGUGCCAUAAUAUCAUUCUUUAGAACAGGUGCCCAAAUUGCACAGCAUAUUCAAGAUAUGGUCUUACCAGUGAUUUAUAAAGAGGCAAAAUUAUAUUCUCAUCCUGAGAAUUAAAUGCCCUUUUUCAUGCAUGACAAUACCUUACUGGCCUUGGCCACUGCUGAUUGACAUUGCACAUUGUUGCAUAGUUUGUUGUCUAUAACAAUUCCCAAAUCCUUCUCAUGUGUUGUUUUCCCUAAUUUGCUCUCAUCAAGGGUAUACGUUGCUUGUGCAUUCUUUACGCCAAAGUACAUAACUUUGCAUUUUUCUGCAUUACAUUUAAUCUGCCAUUUGAGUGCCCAGUCCACCAGUCUAAAUCCCUCUGCAACAAAAUAAUAUCCUGCUCACACAUGGCUUCUCCAUUUUGGCUUUAUUUUUGUUAAGUAAAUCACGACAUGGUGUAAUAUGUCAUGUGUUGUUGUUCAUCAGAGCUUUACGUAAUUUUAAGACCUGCUAAGGAAGAGAUGAUUGUUAUUGUGUCGUGAUAUGUAAAACCAUAGAAUUCAAAGAGGGCAUACUAUAUUUUUCAGGACUGUAUAUGACUUGUGAAGAAACCAAAUAUUGUUACUCGCCCUUUGCCCUGCAGACAAAGUGGCACGAUUGGCCAUUAAAUAUUCAGGUUACCGUUUUGAGAUUCUGUGACAGCUGUUUGACUUUAACACAUUGUCGGCACCUGUAUUCCACCAACUGGCUUAUGGCUUGUCACACUUGAUGUGAGUAGCUUCUACAUGGUGACCAUCAGUGGAGAGAGCACUGAGGCUAUGAGAAAGGUCUUAACAGAAACUGACCAACCAGUAAGCUUUCCAAUUAAUUUUAUCUUACAACUCUGACCUUAAGCAAACACUAUUGUGUGAACUAGCAGCCGGAGCGCUCACUUCACCAUCUUAUCUGCUUCUUUCUACAAUACCGUCUAGGGCUGGUUAUGUAUUUUUUCUC